rnacentral:lncRNA from 10 species
GAAUUGGAAAAGCAAAUCCAGAAGUUGAGUUCCAUGACUUUUUUGCUGUUUGCCUUUGGACUUGCAUCAUUUAUAUUUUUAAUUCAUCGAGGAUGAGAAAAUUGAUUAACACAAAAUCUUUUCAUGUCUUUUCUGAUGAGAGACUAGCUGAAUCCAAGAAGAGAAGCCCUUGAAGAGUGUAUUCUAUUCUAGACAAGCAUUCACACAUUGGCUUCUUUGGUGCCAGGUAAUUAGAAUUUGUAAUUUGGUCUUAAUUAAACUGCAGACUACCCAAAGGCCUUGAUCAGUGGCCUUUUGACUGCCUCCACCGUUUGGAGGAAACAAACAAAACACAAAUUAGCCUUUAAAAAUAUGCCCAUUGAUUUCUCCUCAUCUCCCCAAACAUAUACAACCCCACCAGAUAUAUAUUUAUAUUGGCUAUAAAAAUAUGCCCAUUGAUUUCUCCUCAUCUCCCCAAACAUAUACAACCCCACCAGAUAUAUAUUUAUAUUGGGUAUAAUGUCAACAUAUAUCAAAUGUGCCAAUUAAACACAGAGCUCCUCUAAACUACCAAGCAUGUUAUUAUUAUUAUUUUAAUUUUUAAAACAUUUCUAACUUAACAGAAACAUUGGCCGGGC